rnacentral:rRNA from 1 species
GCCCUUCUGGAGUUUGGCAGAGGGGGGUGGAAUUCCACGUGUAGCAGUGAAAUGCGUAGAGAUGUGGAGGAACACCAAUGGCGAAGGCAGCCCCCUGGGUCGAUACUGACGCUCAUGCACGAAAGCGUGGGUAGCAAACAGGAUUAGAUACCCUGGUAGUCCACGCCCUAAACGAUGUCAACUAGGUGUUGGGAGGGUAAAACCUUUUAGUGCCGUAGCUAACG